CGAAUGUGGAGUUCUACUGUGUCUGCAGACGGAGUGACAGAGGCAGUGCAUCAAAGCUAACCACGACGUUCUACAAGUAGGCUGUUCGCUCUGAAGCCUACAACGCGUAAUUGAAAUAUUAUCUUAACUGCCUUAGAAGAGGUCUGUAAAAAGGCCAGAAGAACAUGUGCCACUAUAUAUAUGAAGGAAAAAAAUGUCCAGCAGGAGUACAAAGAUCCACAUUAGAGAUCUCCUGGGGAGAACACCUGGCAGCUUUCUUCUCCUCUGGAGCAGCACACUCCCUAGGAGCAGGGGUCCCUCACCUGAAAAUUAACUGGCCCUGUAUGGAUGCAGUUGCUUUUUCCUGAGAAGAGGAUGACAAGUGGCCUAUUGUCACUCCAGCUCUGCUACUGGUUUGGUUUUGUCACGGCACUGCAAGAGUCGCAGGCACUGUGUAAUGUAUACGAACAAGUACAGAACAAAAGACUUACCUGCUUUUCACAAACUACCUGAUACAAAACAAGAGAGAUAGCAAUACAGGAGCCUAGGGAAAUGGGUCAGUACUAGUCAGCAUCUUUUCAACAGCUAAGAAGCUUUUUAAAUAAGCAUACAGUAAAUAAAGUGGCAAAAGUUAGAUUGUCCUGGACAAAUCUACUUCUGCUCCCAUGACUGGACUUGAAAAAACAAGAUAGAAGGCUUGGGAAAUCUGUAACAGAACAGAAUAAUAGCUGGACCUCCCAAAUUAGCAUUUUUCAAACCUGUAAAUAUAGCAGGAAAAGGCAAAGCUUUCUGUCCAGAGCUCAAACCACAAGAAAUAAAAACAAAACCAACCAACAAAACAAACAAAAA